rnacentral:lncRNA from 1 species
UAUGAUCUCAUAGGAACUUUUUGAUCGUCAAACAGAUGAUUAAUGAGUUAGAACUCUUAGGCUCUGUUCGUUUGAACAGAUUUUACUGUUCAAACGAAUUGGAGAGCGAGGAAAUGAAAAGCAACUGUGUUCGCAUUAACAGAUUUGGAAGGAAUGAUUUUUGCUUAUUUGCGGGAUGAGGUGUUUUUUCUCAUCCCUUGUAAUGUUAAGAGAUUUUAGAGUAAUUGUAGUAAAAAAUCUUUUUUAUCCCUGAUACAAACGCACAAUUAUUCCUCCACUUUCCUCCUGCCCACCUCUCUUUCCUCCACAUGUUGAUAUUUAUCCAAACAGCAGCCCCCAACUUUUCUUCAUCUCCUUAUUUCUAUUUCUUCAGCUCCUAAUUUUUAUUAUUCAAAUACAAUUUUUUACUUUAUUUCCCUUCUACUUUCAUUUAUUAUAUAUCUUUUCCUUGUAUACUUUAAUAAUAAUAAUAAUAAUUAAGGUUAAUU